rnacentral:rRNA from 1 species
UACGAAGGGUGCAAACGUUGCUCGGAAUUAUUGGGCGUAAAGCGCACGUAGGCGGCUUUGCAAGUCGGAUGUGAAAUCCCUCGGCUCAACCAAGGAAGUGCAUCCGAAACUGCAGAGCUUGAGUACCAAAGAGGAUCGCGGAAUUCCCGGUGUAGAGGUGAAAUUCGUAGAUAUCGGGAGGAACACCAGUGGCGAAGGCGGCGAUCUGGGUGGAUACUGACGCUGAGGAGCGAAAGCGUGGGGAGCGAACAGG